GAGGCCACCGCCUGCCCACCUGCCAGGCCCACCCAGCCCAGGAGGCCCCAGUGCAGGGCAACCGUCCUGGAGGCUCCAUCGGGCUGGACAAGCGAGAGAAACAGGCGCAGCCUGUCCGCCAUCCACGCCCUCUGCCUGCUCGCCCAUUCAGGCGAGAACAGGAGCGCGGGCUCUCCGCAGCCCCGAGGUGUGGGGCAAGCUGAGGGCUCUUUUCAGGUGGACGUUCAUGAAUGCUUCGCGCUGGUGAGGGACGCCUCCCUUCUCUGGGCCUCCAGCAUCAGGCGCGCCCACAGACGCAAGACAAGGUCACUGGGGGCCAGGACGCACCUCCAGGCAGAGCAGCCUGUGAAGACCCUCCAGGAGGCCCAGGGGUUCAGCCGGGACAACAGCUGCCAGCUCUACCUGGGUCAGGCAGAAGGCUGUGCAUGGCCAAGCUCAGGGUCAAGGCCGUGGUCUCAUGGUGAGGAACCACCCCUCCCUGCCUGCCCAGACACCCGUCCAGGCCAGGCCCUGCCCCUACCCCUGCCCCUGGUCAGGGAGGGGCAGGGAGAUGUGGGGACAGGAAGGCCAUGGAGACCACGCCAGCCACCCCCAGACCCUAUUCCAUCCCUUUGGUCGUGCUGCCUGCCUGAAAUUCCACAUGGCAGUCCCCUCCUGAAGUCAGUCCUGAGACAAAUAGCAUCCAGAGCUCCCUUCAGGGCCAUCGCUUCUGAGUGGACAGUUCCAGGGCAAGGCACCAGCUGGGGUGUCUAGCAGGGGCAAGGUCUCAGCUCCCCCAACCCACCCCAACCUGGGGUGGGGAUGGCAGGAGGAGGUGCUGGCCAGCAGCCCCCAGAGGACAGCUCUAGGGCGCAGGAACCCGUCCCCCCACUGAAUUAAGAAGGACAUUUGGGUGGUGGGGCCGCAAGUCCUCCUCUCCCAGGGUCUCCGGGGGGGGGCCCUGGUCUGUGAGAGGAAUGGCCUCUGCGGGAGGCGGUGCCGGGCCCUGGCGCUGCCUCUACUUACAUUCCAUCCCCACUUCCACGAAGGAUCACAGCCACUGCCCCUGGGCCUUCUGCUGUGGCCCCUGCUGCAGCUCUGAUCACGCCCAAGACUGUGGGGGCCUUCGUCCCACCCCUCUGGGGACCCACCCAUCUGAGAGUCCCUCCCUCACCCACUCUCUUCCAAAACCCUUCCC
rnacentral:lncRNA from 1 species